GGCGUAGAAUGAAUGGAGAGUUUGCUGGGAGUCUGAGUCACUGAAGAAGGAAGCCUUGCUUCUGGAAACUUCUGUUCUUUUCAAAGUGUAUUUGUCUAAUGAAAACCGACCAACUUCCUACAGACUGCCCUACUUCUGCAGUUUGUCUGUGGUGUGAAGGGUAUGACUGUAGGCUGUUCUUCUGGCACUCUUCACCUACAAUUGUUAAUAUUUAGGUUUAUUCUGUGAGCAGAAAGGAAGACAACACUCCUGAUCCUCCUCCUCUUCAUAUACCAGCAAGAUUUCAGGGUGGCAAUCUUUGAUGAGAUUCUGAAACAUCAAACCAGGAAACGAUGGGAAUAAGCUGAUUUCUUCCUGAGAUAACACUGAGAGCAUCACUGCAUGUCUGAGGGAGAACAGAAAACGAGUGAGAAAGUGUCCACCAUGACACUUGUGCCACGCUUCUGCAUCUGCCUUGUCCACGUGAGUCCCACCUGACGCGAGGAUUCUGAGUUCCCUGACUUCCCAGUGUAGUGCACAGGAUCGCACGGGCUCUGCUGGGGCUACUGGUUCACUCCAUGCACUGAUGGUAGUAUGGUCUAUCUCAGAGACACACAUUCUUGGAUCUCUUAGGUCUGGACUGUGCUGUCGCACAGAGCAGCUGCCCCACCCCACAUCACACACUGUGCCCUUGCAGAGCCUUCCCCAUCCCGAGGUUUUUAAUUAUCCGGAUCUGUUUGAGCCCAGGCCCUGCCCUGUGCCCUGCGCUUAGCAGGGGGCCACCAGCUGUGCUGGAGCUGGCUGAUUCACAACAGCCUGUCCUAGUAAGAAUCUCACCAGCUGUGAGGUGGACUUGCAGAGGAGAUGAGAGUACAAAAGGAGUGAGGAGGACACCCUUCCAUGAAGCUUUUCCACACCUCUUGGGAUGAGAAGGAGCAAAGUGGUGGUGCUGCUGCGUCUGGGAGCGAUCAGUCUGCUAAAGGUGAGUGUCUUGUUGCUGUUAUGUGAGCUCCUUCAUCUGCACAGGGGGAGAGAUGCUGAU
rnacentral:lncRNA from 1 species